UAAAGAUCCAACAAUCAGCUCUUUUUCAAACACAGCGUCAUAUUUCAGCACAACAGACACACAUCCACGAUCCAGCAGCAUCACAAUCACAGAAAGAAAAGAAACAAUCACAGAUCAGCACACAUCAGCAGAAACUACCAGAACAGGAAGUACUGCUGUUCAUCUCAAUCAGUGAAACACUAGUCUGUCUUCUGUCGCUGGCGGUCUGGGUUCGGUUCUGCUGGUUCUGGUUCUGUGUUCUGCAAUGUUCCUCAUCCUGAAAAAGAGGAAGAGGAAAUCUGGGACAGGUUUAUUUCAGCAAAAUGUGCAACACAAUACAGAGGUGG